rnacentral:miRNA from 1 species
AAGAAAACCAACCCAUUCCUAUUAAAGUCUUGUUUGCACAUUUUGUCUUUGUUAUUUUCGCAUGCUCCUUUGGAACUUUUUGUACAUCGAUGUGAAACUCUUCACUGGAGCAUACGGCAAUAACGAAAACAAGGUAUGCAUAUAAAACUUUAAUAGUAAUGGAAUGAAAUA